rnacentral:rRNA from 1 species
GAUGAACGCUGGCGGCGUGCCUAAUACAUGCAAGUCGAGCGAACGGACGAGAAGCUUGCUUCUCUGAUGUUAGCGGCGGACGGGUGAGUAACACGUGGAUAACCUACCUAUAAGACUGGGAUAACUUCGGGAAACCGGAGCUAAUACCGGAUGAUAUUUUGAACCGCAUGGUUCAAAAGUGAAAGACGGUCUUGCUGUCACUUAUAGAUGGAUCCGCGCUGCAUUAGCUAGUUGGUAAGGUAACGGCUUACCAAGGCAACGAUGCAUAGCCGACCUGAGAGGGUGAUCGGCCACACUGGAACUGAGACACGGUCCAGACUCCUACGGGAGGCAGCAGUAGGGAAUCUUCCGCAAUGGGCGAAAGCCUGACGGGGCAACGCCGCGUGAGUGAUGAAGGUCUUCGGAUCGUAAAACUCUGUUAUUAGGGAAGAACAUAUGUGUAAGUAACUGCGCACAUCUUGACGGUACCUAAUCAGAAAGCCACGGCUAACUACGUG